ACGGAAGGCAGCAGUGGGGAAUAUUGGACAAUGGGGGCAACCCUGAUCCAGCGACGCCGCGUGAGUGAAGAAGUAAUUCGUUAUGUAAAGCUCUAUCAGCAGGGACGAUAAUGACGGUACCUGACUAAGAAGCUCCGGCUAAAUACGUGCCAGCAGCCGCGGUAAUACGUAUGGAGCAAGCGUUAUCCGGAUUUACUGGGUGUAAAGGGAGCGUAGGUGGUUUUGUAAGUCAGAAGUGAAAUGCCGGGGCUCAACCCCGGAGCUGCUUUUGAAACUGCGAAACUAGAGUGCAGGAGAGGUAAGUGGAAUUCCUAGUGUAGCGGUGAAAUGCGUAGAUAUUAGGAGGAACACCAGUGGCGAAGGCGGCUUACUGGACGAUAACUGACGUUGAGGCUCGAAAGCGUGGGGAGCAAACAGGAUUAGAUACCCUGGUA
rnacentral:rRNA from 1 species